rnacentral:rRNA from 1 species
AGUGGGGAAUCUUAGACAAUGGGCGCAAGCCUGAUCUAGCCAUGCCGCGUGAGUGAAGAAGGCCUUAGGGUCGUAAAGCUCUUUCGCCUGUGAAGAUAAUGACUGUAGCAGGCAAAGAAACCCCGGCUAACUCCGUGCCAGCAGCCGCGGUAAUACGGAGGGGGUUAGCGUCGUUCGGAAUUACUGGGCGUAAAGCGCGCGUAGGCGGACAUUUAAGUCAGGGGUGAAAUCCCGGGGCUCAACCCCGGAACUGCCCUUGAUACUGGGUGUCUUGAGUUCGAGAGAGGUGAGUGGAAUUCCGAGUGUAGAGGUGAAAUUCGUAGAUAUUCGGAGGAACACCAGUGGCGAAGGCGGCUCACUGGCUCGAUACUGACGCUGAGGUGCGAAAGUGUGGGGAGCAAACAGGAUUAGAUACCCUGGUAGUCCACACCGUAAACGAUGAAUGCCAGUCGUCGGGCAGCAUGCUGUUCGGUGACACACCUAACGGAUUAAGCAUUCCGCCUGGGGAGUACGGUCGCAAGAUUA